rnacentral:rRNA from 1 species
UCGAGGGGCAGCAUAAAUUACUUGUAAUUUGAUGGCGACCGGCGAACGGGUGCGUAACGCGUAUGCAACUUACCUUUUACUAGAGAAUAGCCAAGAGAAAUUUUGAUUAAUGCUCUAUGUUCUUAUUAACUCGCAUGAGUUAAUAAGCAAAGCUCCGGCGGUAAAAGAUGGGCAUGCGUCCUAUUAGCUUGUAGGUGAGGUAACGGCUCACCUAAGCUCCGAUAGGUAGGGGUCCUGAGAGGGAGAUCCCCCACACUGGUACUGAGACACGGACCAGACUUCUACGGAAGGCAGCAGUGAGGAAUAUUGGACAAUGGACGAAAGUCUGAUCCAGCCAUGCCGCGUGCAGGAUGAAUGCCCUAUGGGUUGUAAACUGCUUUUAUAUAGGAAGAAAACCCUCCACGUGUGGAGGCUUGACGGUACUAUAAGAAUAAGGAUCGG